UUCUGAUUGAUCAUAUUAAGA
rnacentral:piRNA from 1 species